AAGGUGGAGUCGCUAGUAAUCGCAGAUCAGCAACGCUGCGGUGAAUACGUUCUCGGGCCUUGUACACACCGCCCGUCACGUCACGAAAGUUGGUAACACUCGAAGCUUGUGGCCUAACUCUUUUUGAGGGGGAGCGGGUGAAGGUGGGGCUAGCGAUUGGGACGAAGUCGUAACAAGGUAGCCGUACCGGAAGGUGCGGCUGGAUCACCUCCUUU
rnacentral:rRNA from 2 species